rnacentral:rRNA from 1 species
UUUAAUUGAAGAGUUUGAUCAUGGCUCAGAUUGAACGCUGGCGGCAGGCCUAACACAUGCAAGUCGAGCGGUAAC